AGCUGGGCUGCGGGGCGACGGCGCAGUGGGGACCGAGCGAGGAGGGUGCGGAGAGCAGGAGGGGCACGAGCGUCGACACGCGGGUGAGGAACACAAGGCAACGAUGUUCAAAAUUACAUAGUGUUCAUAUUGAAAAAUAAUACUGGAAAGUCCACCCCCUUGCAGAGCCCCACCCGCCCCAAAGGGGAACCUCCGUGCCGCCACUUUCCAGUUUGCCCAUGUUCCCUAUUCCUAAACGCAGGGAAUAUUCUGGAAACACCCCAACGGCCCGGACUUCCCCAGGGGCCUCUUUACUUACAGUGACGUGAAAGAGCGAGCUCAUCUUUUCUGGAGCGGAACCCCAAGACCUUUGACCCUUUUUACCUUCCUCCUCGUGGGAAUACACCUCUCUCCACAGCAGCCGGUGUUUGAGGUCAUCCUUGGGACCGUACAGAUAACCGUCAGAGGGUACCGUACAGGAACCUACCAGGGCGAACUCCUCCGAGCUCCUCUAACAGCUGUGCUCAGAGGGGAGCAAGAAGCGCAGAGCGGUAACCCCAGAUGUCCCACUGUGAAGCAACUGAAGAGCUGUGACCCACUGGGACAGAAGGCAGAGAGAAAUGAGGAGCUAAAAGAGGAAAAGACUGAAGAACGGAGGCAGUGACGACACCUCCUACCGGAGUUGGACGGAAGACGAGCGGCACUUUCCUCCUACGAUCAAUAACUGAAAGCGGAGAGCUACGGGGGGGGUCGUCAGUCACGGCUGGAACCACUCUGACGUUUAUUCACUGUAUCAGACUCUUCCCCAAAGUGACGUGCAAAAGUACAAUUGACCAGACAGACAGACAGACUCAGUGUGUCCAAUACCACGGUACAGAGUAGCAGUAGUAGGAAACGCAGAGGUGAUGGUGACGGAUGGUGUGAUGUGAGUUUAUGGAGCUGUUAGGAGAUCAGGAGAGAAGUGGCCCUGAAACAAAGGAGUUUUUAAAGGGAUUCAGCAGCUCCGAGGGACAGCGGGCGCUCACUGCACCACACGGAGACCCUACACACUUCCGCACCCCUGAGAGUGAGACAACCAAGUGUCCAGAGUUGGAGGAGCUCAGCACCCUUUCCGGGCUGUAGGGAGCGAUCGGGUCCUGUAGGUACCGCAGCGCAGAUCCUUUGACCGUCUUGUAGGCCGUAGCCAGUUUUGAUCCUGAUGCAGGCAGCUGCAGCCAGGCAGCAGAGAGAGAUGAAGAGGGGAGAUACAUGGGGACGCUGGGGGGUCAAACACAACUCGUCUCCCUCUGGGCGCAGGUAACAUCACUAGUCUCGCUUCCCGUGCAGAUGGUGGCGCCGUCGCUCCACCCACACAGCCCCCCCCCCCAUUUGCACGCACCCACACUACUGCUCUUCGUGGUUCAAGUGACACCAACUAUGCGCCAAAAAUGAGGAAAUGACCAAAUUACAUUAGAAGAAAGCAAAGGAUAAUAAACAUGUCAAUAAAAGUGUAACAGAAGUCUGAAGAGGAAGAACACUAUAAUAA